AUUUUCAAUAAUAUAUUUUAUUUAACCAGUAUAUAUAAAAUAUUAUCAUCUCAACAUGUAAUCAAUACAAAAAAUAAAACAAGAUAUUUCAUAAUUUUUAUAUUUUUUCAAAAGCCAAUGUAUAUUUUAUCUUUAUAGCAUAUUUUAGACACCAAAUUGUCAUGAAAAAUAAUUGAUCUAUAUUUAGAUGUCAUAAAAUUUACAAUUGAAAAGAAAGUAGAUUCACUUACACAAGUUGUUCCAAAUAGACCUGAGAGUUUUAUGAUAACUACAUAUGAACUGUUAUAUUUUAAGUUAAAAUCAAAUUAACACUUAAAAAUCAGUUGGGAAAGUUGGAUAGUUGCAUGUAAAUCAAUAAAGUUAGAAUACACCCUCAUACCAUAUACAAAAAUAAACUCAAAAUGCCUUAAAGACUUAAACAUAAGACAUGACACCAUAAACUCCUAGAUCAUAGACAAAAUAUUCUCUGACACAAACUGUACCAAUGUUUUAAAUGGGACCUAAUCAAACUUACAAGCUUUUGCACAGCAAAGGAAACCAUAAACAAAACAAAAAGACAAACUGCAGAAAUGGAGAAAAUAUUUGCAAAUGAUGUCACCAACAAGGGAUUAAUUUCCAAAAUAUUCAAACAGCUCAUACACCUCAGUAGCAAAAACAAAAAACAAAAAACCAACCCAAUGGAAAAGUGGGCCAAAGAUCUAAACAGACAUUUCUCCAAAGCAGACAUACCUAUGGCCAGCAGGCACAGGAAAAGAUACUCAGUGUUGAUAAUUAUUGGAGAAAUGCAAAACUACUGCCUUUGGAAUGGAUUAGCAAUGAGAUCCUGCUGUGUAGCACUGGGAACUAUGUCUAAUCACUUAUGAUGGAGCAUGAUAAUGUGAGAAAAUAGAAUGUGUACAAGUAUGUGUAACUGGGUCACCAUGCUGUACAGUAGAAAAAAAUUGUAUUGGGGAAAUAACCAUUGAAAAAAAUCAUAAAAAAAGGAAAAAAAAAUAAAUGCAAAACAAAACUACGAGGUACCACAUCACACAGUUUGGAAUGGCCAUUAUUAAAAUGUCUACAAAUAAUAAAUACUGUAGAGAGUAUGGAGAAAAGGGAACUCUCCUACACUGUUGAUGGGAAUAUAAGUUGGCGCAGACACUAUGGAAAAUAGUAUGGAGGUUCCUCAAAAAAUUAAAAACAGAGUUGCCAUAUGAUCCAGCAAUUCCACUCCUGGGCAUAUAUCCAGAGAAAAAGAUAGAUGCACCCCUAUGUUCA
rnacentral:lncRNA from 9 species